rnacentral:rRNA from 1 species
UGGACGAAGUCUGACGGAGCAACGCCGCGUGAGUGAUGAAGGUUUUCGGAUCGUAAAGCUCUGUUGUUAGGGAAGAACAAGUGCAAGAGUAACUGCUUGCACCUUGACGGUACCUAACCAGAAAGCCACGGCUAACUACGUGCCAGCAGCCGCGGUAAUACGUAGGUGGCAAGCGUUGUCCGGAAUUAUUGGGCGUAAAGGGCUCGCAGGCGGUUUCUUAAGUCUGAUGUGAAAGCCCCCGGCUCAACCGGGGAGGGUCAUUGGAAACUGGGAAACUUGAGUGCAGAAGAGGAGAGUGGAAUUCCACGUGUAGCGGUGAAAUGCGUAGAGAUGUGGAGGAACACCAGUGGCGAAGGCGACUCUCUGGUCUGUAACUGACGCUGAGGAGCGAAAGCGUGGGGAGCGAACAGGAUUAGAUACCCUGGUAGUCCACGCCGUAAACGAUGAGUGCUAAGUGUUAGGGGGUUUCCGCCCCUUAGUGCUGCAGCUAACGCAUUAAGCACUCCGCCUGGGGAGUACGGUCGCAAGACUGAAACUCAAAGGAAUUGACGGGGGCCCGCACAAGCGGUGGAGCAUGUGGUUUAAUUCGAAGCAACGCGAAGAACCUUACCAGGUCUUGACAUCCUCUGACAACCCUAGAGAUAGGGCUUUCCCUUCGGGGACAGAGUGACAGGUGGUGCAUGGUUGUCGU